GUGGUAUAACAGGAGAGGGAUAUGCAACUCUAACUUCAGCUCUCAAAUCAAACCCCUCACACCUGGUGGAGCUGGACCUGAGAGGGAACGACCCUGGAGACUCUGGAGUGGAGCUCCUCACUGAUCUACAUCAUUUACUUCAUGUUAAAAAACUUCAGACCCUGAGGUUGUUGAAGAGUGAUGCUGCAGAGAAAGCCUGUGCUUAUCUGACUUCAGUUCUGGGUACAAACCCCUUACUCCUGACAGAGCUGGAUCUGAGU